ncrna:unclassified sequences uup RNA
GGAGAAUCUGCUCUGUACAAUUCCAUCCGAUGAAACAUUGUACAGAGC